AUUGAACGCUGGCGGCAGGCCUAACACAUGCAAGUCGAGCGGAUGAAGGGAGCUUGCUCCUGGAUUCAGCGGCGGACGGGUGAGUAAUGCCUAGGAAUCUGCCUGGUCGUGGGGGAUAACGUCCGGAAACGGGCGCUAAUACCGCAUACGUCCUGAGGGAGCAAGUGGGGGAUCUUCGGACCUCACGCUAUCAGAUGAGCCUAGGUCGGAUUAGCUAGUUGGUGGGGUAAAGGCCUACCAAGGCGACGAUCCGUAACUGGUCUGAGAGGAUGAUCAGUCACACUGGAAGUGAGACACGGUACAGACACCUACAGGAGGAAGCAGUGGGGAAUAUUGGACGAUGGGGGAGAGGCUGAUUUAGCAAUGCCGCGUGAGUGAAGAAGGUGUUCGGAUUGUAAAGCGCUGUAAGUUGGGAGGAAGGGAAGUAAGUUAAUACCUUGCUGUUUUGACGGUACCAACAGAAUAAGCACCGGCUAACUUCGUG
rnacentral:rRNA from 1 species